rnacentral:rRNA from 1 species
AUUGAACGCUGGCGGUAGGCCUAACACAUGCAAGUCGAACGCGAAAGUCCUUCGGGAUGAGUAGAGUGGCGGACGGGUGAGUAACGCGUAGGAAUCUAUCCUGUAGUGGGGGAUAACGUUUCGAAAGGAACGCUAAUACCGCAUACGCCCUACGGGGGAAAGCGGGGGAGUCUUCGGACCUCGUGCUAGAGGAGGAGCCUGCGUCGGAUUAGCUAGUUGGUGAGGUAAAGGCUCACCAAGGCGACGAUCCGUAGCUGGUCUGAGAGGAUGAUCAGCCACACCGGAACUGAGACACGGUCCGGACUCCUACGGGAGGCAGCAGUGGGGAAUAUUGCGCAAUGGGCGAAAGCAUGACGCAGCCAUACCGCGUGUGUGAAGAAGGCCUUCGGGUUGUAAA